GUUGUCCGGAUUUAUUGGGCGUAAAGCGCACGCAGGCGGUCAAGGAAGUUCAGGGUGACAGUUCCCGGCUUAACUGGGAAAGUGCCUUGAAAACUCCUGGACUUGAGGGCUUCAGAGGGACACGGAAUUCCGGGUGUAGUGGUGAAAUGCGUAGAUAUCCGGAGGAACACCAAAGGCGAAGGCAGUGUCCUGGGAAGCAUCUGACGCUCAGGUGCGAAAGCUAGGGGAGCGAACGGGAUUAGAUACCCCGGUAGUCCUAGCCGUAAACGAUGACCACUAGGCGUGGGAGGUAUCGACCCCUUCCGUGCCGCAGUUAACACAAUAAGUGGUCCGCCUGGGGAGUACGGUCGCAAGAUUAAAACUCAAAGGAAUUGACGGGGACCCGCACAAGCAGCGGAGCGUGUGGUUUAAUUCGAUGCAACGCGAAGAACCUUACCAGGGUUUGACAUGCAGUCGCACCACCUAGAGAUAGGUGUACCUUCGGGACGGCUGCACAGGUGCUGCAUGGCUGUCGUCAGCUCGUGUCGUGAGAUGUUGGGUUAAGUCCCGCAACGAGCGCAACCCCUAUUGUCGGUUACAAGUGUCCGACGAGACUGCCGCGAUCAACGUGGAGGAAGGUGGGGAUGACGUCAAGUCAGCACGGCCCUUACGUCCUGGGCGACACACACGCUACAAUGGCCGGAAACAAAGAGUUGCGAACCCGCGAGGGGGAGCCAAUCUCGUCAAAACCGGUCUCAGUUCAGAUUGUAGGCUGAAACUCGCCUGCAUGAAGUUGGAGUUGCUAGUAACCGUAGGUCAGCACA
rnacentral:rRNA from 1 species